rnacentral:lncRNA from 1 species
UUUAAUCAGUUUGAGCCUUUUAACCGGUCGAUUUUUAUUUCAAAAUUUGAUCGAAACAUGUAUGUUUCUGAGAAGUUUAUUUCACAUUGAUAAGUUUGAUGCAUUCAAUUUAUUUAUUUUUGGGGCAUUUUUUGCCCGAUUUUUAUUUAUUUUUUAUCCGAUUAUUUUUUAUUCUUAACCAAAAUGUCGUUGGAAUUAAUUAGAUUUGUCCGAAUUUUUAUUUUUAUUUUAUUUUGCAUUUUCGAUUUUUAUUUUAAAUUAUUAAUAUUUUAGUUUUUUAGAAAAAUUAAUUUAAGAAAAAAAUCAGAAAAUAUCUUUUGAUCCCCCACUCAAUUGUUGUCACGUGUCCCCAUUUUUCUGCCAUCCACAUGAAACCACGUCUCUCUUUUUUACACCACAAAUACCUCUUCCUCCAAUCAACAGCAAGGACUACAAGGAAAUAAUACAAAAGAAACAUGUGGAAAAGAAAACGAACAAAAGAAGGUCGAAUGAAUUGACCAUCAUCUUCUUGCUCAUACUCCAUCAAUAUCUCUAACUCUACCAUAUUAAAGUUUUAUCUUCUUCAAACCACCAUAGCCAUUACAAAACAAAUACAAUCUUAAACCAAAACUUCUUCCUCUCUCCAUUCCCAUGAUAGAUACCUUCUUCAUUCUUCAAUAUAUUCUAACCAAAAUGAAUGCUUCCCUACAUAAUACCAUAACAAACUCACCUUAAAUUUUGUACUUCUUCAAUUAACAACCAUGAACACAUAACCUCACACAAAAUAUCAUCUCAUUGAAACAACACACACUAGCAAUCUUCUCACCUUCAUUUUGAUUCAACAACCCAACCGCAACAACACGUCGGCACCACAACAUCGCCCAACACAUCAGAAGCUUUCAGCCGCUGCUCUACACCACAUGCACACCACUGGAAAACCAUCACCAUCUUGAAUUUGAAUGAACCACCUCUUCGCCGCCUCACUUGUUUCCAUCAUUGAUGUGUCCGAUUCGAGUAAGCAUCGAGAGAGAUGAUAAGUCUUUAUUUUUAAGCCAUUGUUGAUGUUUGAGUUUUUUAGAGAGUUAAAAAAAUGAAGGAAAAGAGAUAGGAGAGCUGAGUUUUCCUACUCGUAUCAGGUACUGGUCUUUUAUGCUACUGAUUUUGUUUUUCUUUUAUGCUUUUUUUUCAUUUAUUUAUUAGAGUUGAGAUUUACUUUUUUAUUUUAUUGGUUUGGAUUGGAUAACUUAGAUGAAGUUUUAUUUAAUGAAUCUGUACAGAGACAAGAUUUGUUUUUAAGUAUAUGUUUCUGGUAUAAAAAGUCAAAGAUAAAUAAUGGCAAAAGAUCUUUAAAUUUGGAGUACUGUAUUGUUAGUACUAGGAAACAAAUUAUCAUCUAUCAGCUAUGAAGUAUUAAACCUUAUAACUAGUAUUGUUAAUUUUGGUAAGUUUUAGAACUCAUGAAAUCUUAAAUAAUAUUGACUUCAAGAUCAACAUGUAAGAAGAGAAAAAAUGUGUUUGCCUCAUUUGUAAAGAACAAUAGUUAUUUAGAUCUUUUAAACUUAAAUUUUUAAAAUUUGAAUUGUUCUAUGUGGGUCUUUUAAUGUAGUUUAGGAAUAUUUGGUUUAGAAUUUGUUAUUGUUUGUUUUAAAUGCAUCACCAUAAAUGACAACUAGCUUGUAAAAUAGGAAAAUAAGUCUAUUUUGGUUUAGACUCAGUUUAGAAUUGCUUCCAAUUUCAUAUAAUAUUUGGCACUUUUUUAUACAAUUAUGUUUUCUCAUUUUGUCACCUAAGCUCUUUUCUAAUUNUUAAGAAAUACUCUUGAUUUCUUAAUCAUGAAUGUAAAUGAAAUAUGUAUGAGUUAAGAAAUACUCUUGACUUCUUAAUCAUGAAUGUAAAUGAAUUGAGAAAUGCUCUUGAUUUCUCAGAUGAAAUGCAAAUGAAUUAAGAAACACUCUUGAUUCCUUAAUCAUGAAUGUAAAUAUGCUGAGAAAUGCUCUUGACUUCUCAGAUGCUAUGCAAAUUAAUUAAGAAAUACUCUUGAUUCCCUAAUCAUGAAUGUAAAUGAAUUGAGAAAUGGUCUUGAUUUCUCAGAUGAUAUGAAGACGAGUUAAGAAAUACUCUUGAUUCCUUAAUCAUUGAAUGUAAAUGUACUGAGAAAUGCUCUUGAUUUCUCAGAUGAUAUGCAAAUGAGUUAAGAAAUACUCUUGAUUUCUUAAUCAUGAAUGUAAAUGAAUUAUGUAUGAGUUAAGAAAUACUCUUGAUUUCUUAAUCAUGAAUGUAAAUGAAAUAUGUAUGAGUUAAGAAAUACUCUUGAUUUCUUAAUCAUGAUAGUGCAGAUGAAUUAAGAAAUACUCUUGAUUCCUUAAUUAUGAAUGUAAAUGAGAAAUGCUCUUGAUUUCUCAUAUGACAUGCAAAUGACUAGGGAUGAGAGAAUCAUGUUCAGUUGCUCUUGACUGACAUUAGGUCUCUAGGAUGGAUCUGUUAUAACGUAACAUGCUCGACUGGUCUUCAGACGUUCUUCGUUGAAGGCAGACACUCCUGGGGGAAUAAAUGAUCAUAUUCAGCUGCUUUUGGCUAAAGAUGUCAUAUUCAACAACUCUUGGCUGAAACUGAUGCAUUCAACGACUCUUGGUUGAAGCAAAAACUGUAAAAUAAAGUAGUGUUCAGCUGUUUUUUACUGAAACCACUGCAUUCAACUGCUCAUGGUUGAAGCAAAACUGGGAGAUAAAAAUCUUCUACUUAAUCUCAUGUUUUGAAAUUGUUAAAUAAUAAACUUAUUAUUAAAUUUGUUGAACACAUUUUUCUCAAUAAAAUUUACACAACUAUAAAAAUCAAGGAAAUAAAGCAUAUAUACAGAAUUUAGCGACGAAAAAAACCACAACAUAGAAAAUCACGAGUAAAAGCUAUACAACUCCUAUCUAGAGAAAUUAUGUGAUAGUUGAAAGAAUUAGAAAAGAGCUUAGGUGACAAAAUGAGAAAACAUAAUUGUAUAAAAAAGUGCCAAAUAUUAUAUGAAAUUGGAAGCAAUUCUAAACUGAGUACUUCAAGGAAAUAAUUCAUUUUUAAGGAGUCAAGAGUACUUCUUAACCUUCAUUUACAUGCAUAUCGCCCGACAAUUAGGAAAUCAAGAGUAUUUCUUAAAUCUCGUUGCAUUCAUUUGCAUUAUUGUCUGUUGAUUAAGAAAUCAAGAGUAUUUCUUAAAUCCAAGUGCAUUCGGUCAUAAUCAUAAGCAUAUCAUUCUUCUACAUUAGAAGGGCAAAAUUUGGGUCUGUUUGGUAUUUAAACUAUCUUUUACCAUGAUGAUUUGAAGACAAGAGUUCUUCAUAUCCUCCGGUUAAAUAUGUUUAAAUAGGGGCAGCUGUCAUACCCUAAAUUUCACCCUGAGUUUUCACUCGCAUCAGCAUAACAUAAAUCGAUCCAUUUUGUCGUGUAUUUCAUCAAUUUAAAGCAUUCAUCAGGGUUCAGGUAAAAGGUCAGGAAUUCUGACAUUUUAUCUGAAUUUGAUAAUACUUAUUCAGUCGUCUGUUGAUUAAGAAGUCAAAAGACUUGAUUUCUCAAUCUCGUUGCAUCGCUUAUUUUUAUUACGUCGUAUUUUAGAGGUUCGGAAAGUGAUAAUCAAGAUUAUUGUCGUCGUCUGAAUCUUUGUAGGUUUUGUUUGUGCUUGAGAAUCAACAGCAAAUCGUACAAGAGCGAUUCAUUUGCAUCUGACUGUCUGUUCACGAUUAUUCAGUCAGCAAUUCAGUUCAUUUACAUGACGCUUGCAUUUUUUUACUUGUAAAAACAUGCAUUUUGUUUCACAUAGUGCUUAAAAUAUACUUGAAUUAAUUUUUUCGAAACUACAGACAGACCGGUCAAAUCGUUUCUCAACUGUACGUCGAACUAUCGGGCGGAAAAUUUCAAAAUUGAACUUGCAGACGUCAGUUUUAGUAAUCUACGAUUUGUGUAUUUUAAUUUGGCAUGCUCAUUUUAAUUUUUUGACUACUUUUUCAGUCGCAUUUUAAUCAGUUUGAGCCUUUUAACCGGUCGAUUUUUAUUUCAAAAUUUGAUCGAAACAUGUAUGUUUCUGAGAAGUUUAUUUCACAUUGAUAAGUUUGAUGCAUUCAAUUUAUUUAUUUUUGGGGCAUUUUUUGCCCGAUUUUUAUUUAUUUUUUAUCCGAUUAUUUUUUAUUCUUAACCAAAAUGUCGUUGGAAUUAAUUAGAUUUGUCCGAAUUUUUAUUUUUAUUUUAUUUUGCAUUUUCGAUUUUUAUUUUAAAUUAUUAAUAUUUUAGUUUUUUAGAAAAAUUAAUUUAAGAAAAAAAUCAGAAAAUAUCUUUUGAUCCCCCACUCAAUUGUUGUCACGUGUCCCCAUUUUUCUGCCAUCCACAUGAAACCACGUCUCUCUUUUUUACACCACAAAUACCUCUUCCUCCAAUCAACAGCAAGGACUACAAGGAAAUAAUACAAAAGAAACAUGUGGAAAAGAAAACGAACAAAAGAAGGUCGAAUGAAUUGACCAUCAUCUUCUUGCUCAUACUCCAUCAAUAUCUCUAACUCUACCAUAUUAAAGUUUUAUCUUCUUCAAACCACCAUAGCCAUUACAAAACAAAUACAAUCUUAAACCAAAACUUCUUCCUCUCUCCAUUCCCAUGAUAGAUACCUUCUUCAUUCUUCAAUAUAUUCUAACCAAAAUGAAUGCUUCCCUACAUAAUACCAUAACAAACUCACCUUAAAUUUUGUACUUCUUCAAUUAACAACCAUGAACACAUAACCUCACACAAAAUAUCAUCUCAUUGAAACAACACACACUAGCAAUCUUCUCACCUUCAUUUUGAUUCAACAACCCAACCGCAACAACACGUCGGCACCACAACAUCGCCCAACACAUCAGAAGCUUUCAGCCGCUGCUCUACACCACAUGCACACCACUGGAAAACCAUCACCAUCUUGAAUUUGAAUGAACCACCUCUUCGCCGCCUCACUUGUUUCCAUCAUUGAUGUGUCCGAUUCGAGUAAGCAUCGAGAGAGAUGAUAAGUCUUUAUUUUUAAGCCAUUGUUGAUGUUUG